rnacentral:rRNA from 1 species
UUGCCCUACGGGGCGCAGCAGUGAGGAAUAUUGGUCAAUGGGCGCGAGCCUGAACCAGCCAAGUCGCGUGAGGGAAGACGGUCCUAUGGAUUGUAAACCUCUUUUGUCGGGGAGCAAAAGACGCCACGCGUGGCGUUCCGAGAGUACCCGAAGAAAAAGCAUCGGCUAACUCCGUGCCAGCAGCCGCGGUAAUACGGAGGAUGCGAGCGUUAUCCGGAUUUAUUGGGUUUAAAGGGUGCGCAGGCGGAUUUUUAAGUCAGCGGUCAAAUCGUGGGGCUCAACCCCAUCCAGCCGUUGAAACUGGG